rnacentral:misc_RNA from 1 species
GAUGAAGAACGUAGCGAAAUGCGAUAAGUAAUGCGAAUUGCAGAUCUCCGUGAGUCAUUGAAUCUUUGAACGCACAUUGCGCCCUCGGGUAUUCCCGAGGGCAUGCCUGUCCGAGCGUCAUUAUCCAACCAUCAAGCUCGGCUUGCGGUUGAGCCCCGCACCGUCCCCGGGACGGUGGGCUCGAAACAUGUUGGGCGCCCGUGAGGUUGUCGGUGCAGCGAGCUCUCGAGCACGUGCCGGGCAACCGCUCUGGGCGUCGGCCAGCCCCCCCCAUUUUCUCAGGUUGACCUCGGAUCAGGUAGGAAUACCCGCUGAACUUAAGCAUAUCAAUAAGCGGAGGA